rnacentral:rRNA from 1 species
GAUGACGCUGGCGGCGUGCCUAAUACAUGCAAGUCGAGCGAAUGGAUUAAGAGCUUGCUCUUAUGAAGUUAGCGGCGGACGGGUGAGUAACACGUGGGUAACCUGCCCAUAAGACUGGGAUAACUCCGGGAAACCGGGGCUAAUACCGGAUAACAUUUUGAACCGCAUGGUUCGAAAUUGAAAGGCGGCUUCGGCUGUCACUUAUGGAUGGACCCGCGUCGCAUUAGCUAGUUGGUGAGGUAACGGCUCACCAAGGCAACGAUGCGUAGCCGACCUGAGAGGGUGAUCGGCCACACUGGGACUGAGACACGGCCCAGACUCCUACGGGAGGCAGCAGUAGGGAAUCUUCCGCAAUGGACGAAAGUCUGACGGAGCAACGCCGCGUGAGUGAUGAAGGCUUUCGGGUCGUAAAACUCUGUUGUUAGGGAAGAACAAGUGCUAGUUGAAUAAGCUGGCACCUUGACGGUACCUAACCAGAAAGCCACGGCUAACUACGUGCCAGCAGCCGCGGUAAUACGUAGGUGGCAAGCGUUAUCCGGAAUUAUUGGGCGUAAAGCGCGCGCAGGUGGUUUCUUAAGUCUGAUGUGAAAGCCCACGGCUCAACCGUGGAGGGUCAUUGGAAACUGGGAGACUUGAGUGCAGAAGAGGAAAGUGGAAUUCCAUGUGUAGCGGUGAAAUGCGUANAGAUAUGGAGGAACACCAGUGGCGAAGGCGACUUUCUGGUCUGUACUGACACUGAGGCGCGAAGCGUGGGGAGCAACAGGAUNNAUACCUGGUAGUCCCNCCGUAACGAUGAGUGCUANUGUNANAGGUUCCGCCNUUAUGCUGANUUACNAUNANCCUCCCCUGGGAUACGCCNCAGNUNAACUCAAGAUUGCGGGCCCCCANCGGGGACUGUGNUUAUCAACACCNAAACUACNGCUGNUCNUGAACNUAAAAGCUCCUCGACAAGNAGNGGCNGUNCNCCNNGCNGANUGUANCCCCACCNCUNNUUUCUUAUGCUA